CACAAUACAAUAAAAAACCUUUAUUGGCAUUUCAAGUUAAGACAUUCCAAAAUGGCUUGAGAUACAAAGUCUUUCUUCUUCCUGUUUCCUGUUUCCAAGAGAUUUGAAUGGGGAAAUCCUUUCGAUUCUUCAAUAAUAAGAGGCAGUGGGGUGAGGGAGGCCAGGGCCACAUCCACACCAUUUAACGCGCUAUGAAGCCGCUUUAAACACUCAUGGCUAAACACCCCAAAGACUCUGGGAGCUAUAGUUGGAAAGGGUGCCAAGAGUUGUUAGGGACCCGUUCCCUGCCAAGAAGGGAACCCUACCUCUACCCCUACCCCUGACGCUCACCCUAACUCUAGCCCUAACACUAACCUUUAAGCCUUAACUAGAGCUACAAUUCCCAGAGUUCCCUGCCAAGGGAACCCCAACCCUACCCCUGCCAAGAAGGGAACCCUACCUCUACAACUACCCCUACCCCUGACGCUCACCCUAACUCUAGCCCUAACACUAACCUUUAAGCCUUAACUAGAGCUACAAUUCCCAGAGUUCCCUGGCAAAAAGGGAACCCUAACCCUAAUCCUAACCCUGCCCCCUAACUAGAGCUGCCAUUCCCAGGUUCCCUGCCAGAGGAACCCAGCCCUACCCCUGCCCCUGACGCUAACCGUUCUUCUAUCCCUUUGCCUUAAUUAGAGCUACAAUUCCCAGGGUUCCCUGGCAAGAAGGGAACCCCAACCCUACCCCUGCUCCUGACGCUAACCCUAACUCUAACCCUUAACUAGAGCUACAAUUCCCAGAGUUCCCUGGCAAGAAGGAACCCUACCCCUACCCCAACCCCUACCCUACCCCUAGUCCUAAUACUUAACCACCAUAACAAGUCUCCGUCCCCUUAACCACCUACAGUUCCCAGAAUCCCUGAGGGGAAGCCAUUCCUGUUCAAAGUGUCUUCAUAGACCUUUCAGUGGACGGUGCGCCUAAUGUGGCCUAAUGUUUCCUCCCUCAUUUUCUUCUCUCUCCCCACUGCCCCAUCACUUGCAAUGCAGCAGGUGUCCGCCUGCAGUCUCCCUUCAAAGCUCCUUCUCUCAGGUAUGGCCACGGCCUUGUCCAUUGCUCGCUGCCAGUAUUUCACGUUCACUUCUUCCUGUUUCCUGUUUCCUGUUUCCAAGAGAUUUGAAUGGGGAAAUCCUUUCGAUUCUUCAAUAAGAGGCAGUGGGGUGAGGAAGCCAGGACCACAUCCACACCAUUUAACGCGCUAUGAAGCCACUUUAAACACUCAUGGCUAAACACCCCCAAAGACUCUGGGAGCUAUAGUUGGAAAAGGGUGCCAAGAGUUGUUAGGGGACCCCGUUCCCUGCCAAGAAGGGAACCCUAUCUCUACCCCUACCCCUACCCCUGACGCUCACCCUAACUCUAGCCCUAACACUAACCUUUAAGCCUUAACUAGAGCUACAAUUCCCAGAGUUCCCUGGCAAAAAGGGAACCCUAGCCCUAAUCCUAAC
rnacentral:lncRNA from 1 species